rnacentral:rRNA from 1 species
CCUACGGGGGGCUGCAGUGGGGAAUAUUGGACAAUGGGGGCAACCCUGAUCCAGCCAUGCCGCGUGUGUGAAGAAGGCCCUCGGGUUGUAAAGCACUUUCAGUGAGGAAGAACGCCUGGUGGUUAAUACCCAUCAGGAAAGACAUCACUCACAGAAGAAGCACCGGCUAACUCCGUGCCAGCAGCCGCGGUAAUACGGAGGGUGCGAGCGUUAAUCGGAAUUACUGGGCGUAAAGCGCGCGUAGGUGGCUUGAUAAGCCGGUUGUGAAAGCCCCGGGCUCAACCUGGGAACGGCAUCCGGAACUGUCAAGCUAGGGUGCAGGAGGGGAAGGUAGAAUUCCCGGUGUAGGGGUGAAAGGCGUAGAGAUCGGGAGGAAUACCAGUGGCGAAGGGGGCCUUCUGGACUGACACUGACACUGAGGUGCGAAAGCGUGGGUAGCAAACAGGAUUAGAUACCCGUGUAGUC